rnacentral:rRNA from 1 species
AUGAUCCUCCUCAGCCUGUUCCUGCAAGUCUUCCUCUUUCUCUUUGCGGGAAAACGGAUGGUUAGUAACUGGGGCCCGGUGCGCCUGGUCCUGUGGCUUGCCUACUUAUCAGCCGACUCAGUGGCCACCUUCGUGCUGGGCCACCUCGCGGUCCGCGCGGUCGAGCCGAGCGACCAGGGGCUCAUGUCCUUCUAG